GACGAACGCUGGCGGCGUGCUUAACACAUGCAAGUCGAACGGCAAGGCCCUGCUUUUGUGGUGUUCUCGAGUGCCGAACGGGUGAGUAACACGUGAGUAACCUGCUCUUCACUUUGGUAUAACUUCAGGAAACUGGGCCUACUACCGUAUCGCAUCUCCUGCUGCAUUGUGGGGGUUGGAACUUUUCGGCGGUAGGGGUUGGACCCGCGGCUUAUCAGUUUGCUGGUGGGGUAGUGGCUUACCAAGGCUUUGACGGAUAGCCGGCCUGAGAGGGGGACCGGGCACAUUGGGACUGAGAGACGGACCAGACUGAUACGGGAGGCAGAAGGGGGGAAUAUGGCACAGUGGGAGGGAGCGUGAGGCAGAAACGCCGCGUGCGGGAUGACGGCCUGCGGGGUGUAAAAAGCUGUAGGCUGUGACGAAGCGUGAGUGACGGUAAUGGGUAAAGAAGCACCGGCUAACUACGUG
rnacentral:rRNA from 1 species